rnacentral:lncRNA from 1 species
GUCCAUGAGAGUUGGUUCCUUCUCUCACCAGCACCCAAGGUACAACCAAGGAAGAAGAAUGCUCAGGCACUUACCCUCUGGAGGAAGGAGAGGAGGGGAGCACCAACACUGAAAAUGCACACUGCAAGCAAACUGAACUGAACUGAAGAUGUGCCCAGGUCAGGAGGCAAAGGAAGAGACUUGCGAGGAAGGAAACCUGGAUGGGAACAGAAUGACACUGAAGUCAACAUACAAUAGCUUGGGGAAGAG